UGCUUAGUAGCUCAGUAGGUAGAGCAGCGGACUGUUAAUCCGUUGGUCACUGGUUCGAACCCAUUUUAGGCAGCCA
rnacentral:tRNA from 1 species